CGGACGGGUGAGUAAUGUCUGGGAGACUGCCCGAUGGAGGGGGAUAACUACUGGAAACGGUGGCUAAUACCGCAUAACGUCGCAAGACCAAGAGGGGGACCUUCGGGCCUCUUGCCAUCGGAUGUGCCCAGAUGGGAUUAGCUAGUAGGUGGGGUAACGGCUCACCUAGGCGACGAUCCCUAGCUGGUCUGAGAGGAUGACCAGCCACACUGGAACUGAGACACGGUCCAG
rnacentral:rRNA from 1 species